AGCUGAACUGGUGACAUUUAACGUGGUUCGAAUUAGCCCUUCCAACUUCGAACUGCCCUCCUUCAUAUGCAUGCUCCCUCCCGCCGCCGCAGCCGCCAUUCGCGCCACGGCGGGCUUGCCGCGGGCUGUACGCCGCGUCCACGCUCGUCUGCUGAAGGAGGGGCUCGCGGACCUUCCCUCCGCGCCGGCGCUCCUUGUGUCCGCCUACGCCAGGUCGUGCCUCCUCCCCGACGCUCGCCGCGCGUUCGACGAUGCGCCGCGCCGGGACCUCCACCUCUACUCAGCGCUCCUCGCCGCCGUCUCCCACUCCUCCGAUCCAGAGCUCGUUCUCCCGCUCCUCCGCCGCAUGCUCUCGGACGACGCGCUUCGCCCAGACCACUUCGUCCUUGCCUCCCUCGCGAGCGCCGCUGGCAGGCUGCGCAGCCUCCGCCUUGGCAGGCAGCUCCACGCCCACUUUGCCGCCUCCCCGUACAGUGCUGACAACGUCGUCAAGUCGUCGCUUAUCGACAUGUACUGUAAGUGUGGCGUCCCUCAGGAUGCCCGGAAGGUGUUCGACAGUAUCGGUGUCAAGAACAGCGUCGUGUGGACUGCACUGAUUUCUGGGUACGCGUCCAAUGGCUGCACCGGUGAGGCGCUUGACCUCUUCCAGAGCAUGCCUGCACACGGCCUCUUCACGUGGACUGCGCUCAUCUCUGGUUUUGUCAAGGCCGGGAACUAUACUGGCGCCAUGGGGCUGUUUGUUGAGAUGAGGCGGGAUGAUAUCAGGAUUCAUGACGCGUUCGUGCUGGCAACUGUCAUCGGUGGUGCUGCAGACCUGGCUGCGCUUGUGCUGGGCAGACAGCUGCAUGGUUUUGUAAUGAGGCUUGGCUUCCUGUCCAGUAUGAUUGUUGGGAAUGCACUGGUUGACAUGUACUCUAAAUGCAGUGACAUACACUCUGCUAGGGAAGUGUUUGAGGGGAUUACAGUCCGUGAUGUCAUCUCAUGGACGACAAUUCUUGUUGGAGAGGCACAGCAUGGUCGAGCUGAGGAGGUAUUUGCUCUUUACAACAGGAUGCUUCUUGCAGGAAUGAAGCCCAAUGAGGUGACAUUUGUUGGAUUGAUCUAUGCUUGCAGUCAUGCUGGUCUUGUUCAGAAAGGACGGCAGCUAUUUGAUUCAAUGAAGCGGGAAUAUGGCAUGAAGCCUGGAGUGCAACAUUAUACCUGCUAUCUGGACCUUCUUAGUCGCUCGGGCUAUUUAUCAGAAGCUGAAAAACUCAUCACUACAAUGCCAUAUGAGCCUGACGAAGCUACCUGGGGGGCCCUAUUGAGUGCUUGUAAGAAGCACAAUGAUACUCAGAUGUGUCUCAGGGUUGCUGAUAAUUUACUAGAGCUGAGACCAAAAGAUCCUUCAACAUAUAUCUUGUUAUCUAAUGUCUAUGCAGUUAAUUGCAAGUGGGAUUCUGUGGCCAAGGUAAGAAAAAUCAUGGCUGAAAUGGAGAUAAGAAAAGUGCCAGGUUAUAGUUGGGUUGAAGCUGGGAGGGAAUCUCGUAUAUUUCAUGCUGGGGAGGUUCCACUUGAUGUUGGAGAAGAAAUUACUUGUUUUCUUGAGGAAUUGGUCUCAGAGAUGCGCAAGAGGGGUUAUGUCCCUGAUACUAGCUCUGUGAUGCAUGACUUGGAAGAGCAUGAAAAGGAGCAGCAUCUGUUCGUGCACAGCGAGAGGCUAGCUGUAGCUUUUGGAAUACUCAAGUCCCCUCCGGGAUCAGUGAUCCGGGUUGUAAAGAAUCUUCGUGUCUGCGGGGACUGUCACACAGUAAUGAAGUUUAUUAGUGCGAUUGCACAGAGGAAGAUCAUCGUGAGAGAUGCUAGUCGUUUCCACCAUUUUGAGGAUGGUAACUGCUCUUGUAGUGAAUUCUGGUAGCUGAUCUACUGAUGUUCAGUUGUAUUUAGUCUCAGGUAUGGUGGAAGCUCUUACCUUGCUUUGGUGGCAUACUUCUCUGUAUUCCUAUGUCCAUUACACCAUUUGUGUUGAGUUUGUGAUCCAAGUUUUGAAGAGGAGGCUAAGUUGGCGAGCGAAGCGGAGGUCCGUCGCCGGGAGGCUUGGGCCGGAGCAUGUUCCUGACAUUACAAAUUAGCCCCUAGUCACCAGAAGGCUUGGACCGGAACAUGGCAAAAGCCAUGUUCAUAUUGUUAAGUUUGAGAUAUGCUCAAGCUUAGUUGGUAUUACAAAUUAGCCCCUAGUGGCUGUUGGCGCCGGCAAGAUGAUGAUGCAUUGUUUGAGGUGGAGUUUGUUAUUAUGAUGCUACAAAGAAUUUGUCUCAAGGUUGAGUUUGUGAUCAUGUUCCCUGUUAGUUUAGGUUUCACCUCUAUAAAUAUUCUUGUAAGCCGCAGGAGAUAGUUAUCUCAAUUAUAAAUCUCCUGUGAUCUGUAAACACCCGAAAAAUACUGAGAUUGUUGCUGACCGGCGCCUGUGGUUUCCCCCUUCGCAUUGGAGGAGGUUUUCACGUUAAAUUUGUAUCUUCUCUGUGUUUGAUCUACUUUGUAUCGUAUUAAUUCGUAACAAUUUGAUUAUUCAUCA